AAAUGAAUAGACGGGGACCCGCACAAGCGGUGGAGCAUGUGGUUUAAUUCGACGCAACGCGAAGAACCUUACCAGGGCUUGACAUCCCUUGACAGCCAUAGAGAUAUGGUGUUCAAACCUUCGGGUUUGACAAGGAGACAGGUGGUGCAUGGUUGUCGUCAGCUCGUGUCGUGAGAUGUUGGGUUAAGUCCCGCAACGAGCGCAACCCCUACUUUUAGUUGCCAGCAUUAAGAUGGGCACUCUAAAGGAACUGCCGGUGACAAACCGGAGGAAGGUGGGGAUGACGUCAAAUCAUCAUGCCCUUUAUGUCCUGGGCUACACACGUGCUACAAUGGCUGGUACAGAGGGCGGCAAAGGAGCGAUCUGGAGCGAAUCCCAAAAAGCCAGUCUCAGUUCGGAUUGCAGGCUGCAACUCGCCUGCAUGAAGUCGGAAUCGCUAGUAAUCGCGAGUCAGCAUAUCGCGGUGAAUACGUUCCCGGGUCUUGUACACACCGCCCGU
rnacentral:rRNA from 1 species